rnacentral:rRNA from 1 species
CCCUUAGACGUUCUGGGCCGCACGCGCGCUACACUGACCAGUGCAACAAGCAUCCGUCCUUGGCCGACAGGCCCGGGCAAUCUUUGAACGCUGGUCGUGAUGGGGAUAGACUUUUGCAAUUUUUGGUCUUCAACGAGGAAUUCCUAGUAAACGCAAGUCAUCAACUUGCAUUGAUUACGUCCCUGCCCUUUGUACACACCGCCCGUCGCACCUACCGAUUGAAUGGUCCGUUGAAGCCUCCGGAUUGGCGCGCACCUCGGUGCCGCCGAGAAGUUGGCUAAACCUUACCAUUUAGAGGAAGGUGAAGUCGUAACA